rnacentral:rRNA from 1 species
AUUGAACGCUGGCGGCAGGCCUAACACAUGCGAGUCGAGCGGAUGAAGGGAGCUUGCUCCUGGAUUCAGCGGCGGACGGGUGAGUAAUGCCUAGGAAUCUGCCUGGUAGUGGGGGAUAACGUCCGGAAACGGGCGCUAAUACCGCAUACGUCCUGAGGGAGAAAGUGGGGGAUCUUCGGACCUCACGCUAUCAGAUGAGCCUAGGUCGGAUUAGCUAGUUGGUGGGGUAAAGGCCUACCAAGGCGACGAUCCGUAACUGGUCUGAGAGGAUGAUCAGUCAGACUGGAACUGAGAAACGGCCCAGACUCCUACGGGAGGCAGCAGUGGGGAAUAUUGGACAAUGGGCGAAAGCCUGAUCCAGCCAUGCCGCGUGUGUGAAGAAGGUCUUCGGAUUGUAAAGCACUUUAAGUUGGGAGGAAGGGCAGUAAGUUAAUACCUUGCUGUUUUGACGUUACCAACAGAAUAAGCACCGGCUAACUUCGUG